UCGGUUCUCGUGCUCCUGUGGAAAGAAGCAAAUCUUAAAAGCCAGCCCAAGGGAGAGCUCACUUUUCUCCCCCCUUGCCUAAACAAACCGAUCAACUCGGGGAGUCGCAGAGAAUCGAAUCAAGCUAGCUGCUAUACUACUAAAAACCUCGUGCGAUCCAUACGCACAAGCAAAAGGCAAGCGACGAUACGAUCUCGCUUGCUCCGGAUAAAGUCGACCGCAAACUUCCGGUGCCAGUCAGUCCGGGGCACUGUGCUUUCUGCAAGAUUCUGCCUAAGCCAAUGCCUUUUUCUCCCUUGGUUAUCUUAGGAGCGUGAUUGAUUCUGCCUUGCCCAAUGGCAGUGCAUGCCACCCGGUAUCUCUCUCUCUUCUCCGUCCCCUUUUUGUUAUCAAAUUACUUAUCUUGCAGAAAGCAGGAGGUGUAAUCUUGGCCUCUUGGGGUUCCCGUGUUCCAUGCAAUAAAGCCGAGAUUUCCGAGAGAGGAGAAGUGUUUUGAUUACGGUAACAAGGUAACAGCACUACACUGUUUCAGCUUUUCUGUGCUGUAAACUGGAUCCUGACAAGUGAAAUGGACUGAGAAAAUGUACUCUUCUCUGAACGAACUCCAUAAAUCUGAGUCCCUUACUCGGACGUGGCGCGCCCGUGGGUAAUUUCGAUGUCUCCUUGAGUUAUGUACUCCCUCGGUCCAACAAACUAUAUCUCAACUUUGACCAAAUUUGAAUGCAUCUAUAUAUUACUCAUGUUUACAUACAUCUAAUUUUUGAUAAACUUGAAAUAUUUUUUUGUUGUACGGAGUCCGGAUGGAGUACUCCUUUUCAUCCGUACAAAAUACAAGGCCUAUGACUUUUGUUGAUGGGAACGUUGCGUGCCGUGCAUGGCGUGGCUGCAUCGGCAUGGCAGAGCACAGGAAAAGAAAGAACGACCCAGCCGAGAUAGAUCCGCCUCGUGACAAGAGCAAGGCAAAUAUUGAGCCCAUGUUGACAUAAACAAGGGAAAGAAUUACUGCAUCUAAAUGCUUAGAUCCUGAGCUUUGAUGACAUGCCUCCGUUCCAGAGGAACACAUACGUACAGGACACUGUCAGCACGGGAGAAUCUUCAUCAAGCCUGUGCAGGCACGGCUGAAGCAUGAUUCGAUCUCAUCUCAUGCAUGUUCAAAGGCACAUCAGAAGAUCCUUCCCUUAUUGAGGCUUUUACGUAAGUCAGUCCGAUUUACUUCUCAGAGAGUGCUUUACUUUUUCUUUCUUUCUUUGUUAUAGGCUGGAGAAACAACAAGCACACGUUGCAUGCAGCUGUGGGCCGGCGAGCAUGCAAACGGAUUCAAGUGGCAUUGAGUUUGCGUGGAGAAUCAGAUGCUCUGGCCAUGAAAAGACUCCAUCUCUUCCCUUUCUUUUGCAUAUUCCAUGUGGCGAGGGGGAAAAAGGCAUGGGGUGGUGAGUUGACAAUUGACUUUGACCGUUUUGACCCAGGUUCAUGAGAUGACAUGCAUGCAUGUAGUCUGAGAAAGUAAAGAGAUUGUGCCAAUGUAGUGGUGUCCAUGACAGAAAGAAAGGCAGCUUGGGUGGAUGCUCUGCUCGGAGCAAAACGUUCACACAAGAAGACAAGCACAAUGCACUCAUUUUUAAACUCUUCUUUUUAAGAUUCAUGGAGUAACAUUGUAGUAUAUAUAUAGCCACCUUUUUCCUGGACAUGUGUCAUGUUAUGCAAGUUCAAGGAUGGCUUGAGCAUAAAUACUCAAGCAAUUGAAUAA